CACGUAGGGUGCAAGCGUUGUCCGGAAUCAUUGGGCGUAAAGAGCUCGUAGGCGGCUUAGUAAGUCGGGUGUGAAACCUCCAGGCUCAACCUGGAGACGCCACCCGAUACUGCUAUAGCUAGAGUCCAGUAGGGGAGUGCGGAAUUCCCGGUGUAGCGGUGAAAUGCGCAGAUAUCGGGAGGAACACCAGCGGCGAAGGCGGCACUCUGGGCUGGUACUGACGCUCAGGAGCGAAAGCGUGGGUAGCGAACAGGAUUAGA
rnacentral:rRNA from 1 species